UACGAAGGGGGCGAGCGUUGUUCGGAAUUACUGGGCGUAAAGGGCGCGUAGGCGGCCCGCUAAGUCGAACGUGAAAUCCCCGAGCUCAACUCGGGAACUGCGUCCGAUACUGGUGGGCUUGAAUCCGGGAGAGGGAUGCGGAAUUCCAGGUGUAGCGGUGAAAUGCGUAGAUAUCUGGAGGAACACCGGUGGCGAAGGCGGCAUCCUGGACCGGCAUUGACGCUGAGGCGCGAAAGCUAGGGGAGCAAACGGG
rnacentral:rRNA from 1 species